rnacentral:rRNA from 1 species
GACGAACGCUGGCGGCGUGCUUAACACAUGCAAGUCGAGCGGUAAGGCCCCUUCGGGGGUACACGAGCGGCGAACGGGUGAGUAACACGUGAGCAAUCUGCCCUUCACACGGGGAUAACUCCGGGAAACCGAAGCUAAUACCCGAUACGACCACUUCAGGCAUCUGAUGGUGGUGGAAAGUUCCGGCGGUGAAGGAUGAGCUCGCGGCCUAUCAGCUUGUUGGUGGGGUAACGGCCCACCAAGGCAACGACGGGUAGCCGGCCUGAGAGGGUGACCGGCCACACUGGGACUGAGACACGGCCAAGACUCCUACGGGAGGCAGCAGUGGGGAAUAUUGGACAAUGGGCGAAAGCCUGAUCCAGCAACGCCGCGUGAGGGAUGACGGCCUUCGGGUUGUAAACCUCUUUCAGCAGGGACGAAGCGCAAGUGACGGUACCUGCAGAAGAAGCACCGGCCAACUACGUGCCAGCCGCCGCUGUAACAC